rnacentral:tRNA from 1 species
GCCCGAGUGGCGGAAUGGUAGACGCAGGGGAUUCAAAAUCCCCCGCCGCGAGGCGUGCCGGUUCGAGUCCGGCCUUGGGUA